UGGGGAAUAUUGCACAAUGGGGGAAACCCUGAUGCAGCGACGCCGCGUGAGCGAAGAAGGUUUUCGAAUCGUAAAGCUCUGUCCUAUGGGAAGAUAAUGACGGUACCAUAGGAGGAAGCCCCGGCUAACUACGUGCCAGCAGCCGCGGUAAUACGUAGGGGGCAAGCGUUGUCCGGAAUCACUGGGCGUAAAGGGUUCGCAGGCGGAAAUGCAAGUCAGGUGUAAAAGGCAGUAGCUUAACUACUGUAAGCAUUUGAAACUGCAUAUCUUGAGAAGAGUAGAGGUAAGUGGAAUUUUUAGUGUAGCGGUGAAAUGCGUAGAUAUUAAAAAGAAUACCGGUGGCGAAGGCGACUUACUGGGCUCAUUCUGACGCUGAGGAACGAAAGCGUGGGUAGCAAACAGG
rnacentral:rRNA from 2 species